rnacentral:rRNA from 1 species
UUAAAUUGAAGAGUUUGAUCAUGGCUCAGAUUGAACGCUGGCGGCAGGCCUAACACAUGCAAGUCGAACGGUAACAGGAAGCAGCUUGCUGCUUUGCUGACGAGUGGCGGACGGGUGAGUAAUGUCUGGGAAACUGCCUGAUGGAGGGGGAUAACUACUGGAAACGGUGGCUAAUACCGCAUAACGUCGCAAGACCAAAGAGGGGGACCUUCGGGCCUCUUGCCAUCAGAUGUGCCCAGAUGGGAUUAGCUAGUAGGUGGGGUAACGGCUCACCUAGGCGACGAUCCCUAGCUGGUCUGAGAGGAUGACCAGCCACACUGGAACUGAGACACGGUCCAGACUCCUACGGGAGGCAGCAGUGGGGAAUAUUGCACAAUGGGCGCAAGCCUGAUGCAGCCAUGCCGCGUGUAUGAAGAAGGCCUUCGGGUUGUAAAGUACUUUCAGCGAGGAGGAAGGCGUUGUGGUUAAUAACCACAGCGAUUGACGUUACUCGCAGAAGAAGCACCGGCUAACUCCGUGCCAGCAGCCGCGGUAAUACGGAGGGUGCAAGCGUUAAUCGGAAUUACUGGGCGUAAAGCGCACGCAGGCGGUUUGUUAAGUCAGAUGUGAAAUCCCCGGGCUCAACCUGGGAACUGCAUUUGAAACUGGCAAGCUUGAGUCUCGUAGAGGGGGGUAGAAUUC